ensembl:lncRNA novel transcript
GGCCCACUCCUCUCCCUUACAGCUCCCACAGCUCAGAAGUCAGCGGAGCAGAGUCCCCAGGAAACCAGGGUCAGGGAUGGAGGCUGCUGAGGAGCGGGUCUGGGUGAGGACCAGCUUGUGACCUGUAGCUCCGGGGACCAGAGUGUGAACGAUUUUGGCAUAGAUGCUGCUCUGAGCUUCCUAAGAGCAAAAACGGGCUGUUGCUGUUUGCGGUUCUUGUUCUGUUUGGGGGAUGCCAUCAGGUGCUGGGGGCGUAUCAGGAGGGCACAGCCCCAGAGCCAGCAGUGUGUGGGGGGCUGGACCAUCAGGCCAGGUCCCCGGGCCAGGGUGAGGUCUGGGCUGCAGGUGCACAGCGACCUCAGGAUUGGUGGGGGUCCUCCCCAACCAUGGAUCACUGAGGGGGAGCCCCAGUUUAACGUGAACCUAACAGGCAUUUAACUCUCAUCCUGCCUAGGAGGUGGAGGCCAGAUACAAGAAAACCACAGUACCAGUAAAUGACAAAGGCUGGAUCUUAACCCAAGUCCUCCGACUCUGAAGGCCAUACCCAACAGGUCCCA